GAUGAACGCUGGCGGCGUGCCUAAUACAUGCAAGUCGAGCGAACAGACGAGGAGCUUGCUCCUUUGACGUUAGCGGCGGACGGGUGAGUAACACGUAGGUAACCUACCUAUAAGACUGGGAUAACUUCGGGAAACCGGAGCUACUACCGGAUAAUAUUUCGAACCGCAUGGUUCGAUAGUGAAAGAUGGCUUUGCUAUCACUUUUAGAUGGACCUGCGUCGUAUUAGCUAGUUGGUAAGGUAACGGCUUACCAAGGCAACGAUACGUAGCCGACCUGAGAGGGUGAUCAGCCACACUGGAACUGAGACACGGUCCAGACUCCUACGGGAGGCAGCAGUAGGGAAUCUUCCGCAAUGGGCGAAAGCCUGACGGAGCAACGCCGCGUGAGUGAUGAAGGUCUUCGGAUCGUAAAACUCUGUUAUUAGGGAAGAACAAACGUGGAAGUAACUGUGCACGUCUUGACGGUACCUAAUCAGAAAGCCACGGCUAACUACGUG
rnacentral:rRNA from 1 species